rnacentral:rRNA from 2 species
AAAUCAGGUAGGAUUACCC